UACGUAGGGUGCGAGCGUUAAUCGGAUUUACUGGGCGUAAAGCGUGCGCAGGCGGCCCGUUAAGACAGGUGUGAAAUCCGACGGCUUAACCGGAGGACUGCACCUGAUACUGGGCUGCUAGAGGUAAGGAGAGGAAGGUGGAAUUCCCGGUGUAGCGGUGAAAUGCGUAGAUAUAUGGAGGAACACCGGUGGCGAAAGCGGCUCUCUGGACUGUAACUGACACUGAGGCUCGAAAGCGUGGGUAGCAAACAGG
rnacentral:rRNA from 1 species